GUUUUCUUCUCUGCCUUGCCACCCUCUCACUUAGUCCGUCAUUUUCUCUCCCAGACAGGCUCCUUUAUUCCUCUUCCAGACUUCGUUUUCUCUGCCUCAACCUUUACUCCUUUUGCUUCUGUCCUUCAGGCCGUCUUCUAAUCGCCAUCUAUUGUUGGCCAUGUUCUCCAUCUUGUUAAAAAGCAUCUCGAGUCUUCGAUUUCCGUUUGCAGCUACCGGCCGUCAAUGAGAAGUAUUUUCUGCUAUUGUAAAAGGGGUGUAUUUCAGUUUUUUUUGAUGUUGUGAGCAUUACUUUGUGUAUUACUUUUACUGUGAUAUCGAGAACUUGUCUUUACGUUCAAAAUUGUUAUAGUACUGUUAUAUUCAAAUUUGUG
rnacentral:misc_RNA from 1 species